rnacentral:rRNA from 1 species
CUUCAAUGUCGAGACGUGAUGCGGAGCCGCAAGGCGUAAGUCAUUGAGUCCAAGCUUCCAAGAAAAUCCGCGUCCUACGUUGAAGGGCUGCUGUCCGUACCGGAAACCGACUCAGGUGGGCGGGUCGAGUAGACCAAGGCGUUUGAGAGAACUAUGGCUAAGGAACUCGGCAAAUUGAUGCCGUAACUUCGGGAUAAGGCAUGCCAUCACUGGUGAAGGGUGAACACCCGGAGCCUAAGAUGGUUUCAACAAAGAGGCGGUAGCGACUGUUUACCAAAAACACAGGCCUGUGCGAAGCCGUAAGGCGAUGUAUACGGGUUGACGCCUGCCCGGUGCCGGAAGGUUAAAGGGAGUGGUCAGCGAAAGCGAAGCUGCGAACUGAAGCCCCGGUAAACGGCGGCCGUAACUAUAACGGUCCUAAGGUAGCGAAAUUCCUUGUCGGGUAAGUUCCGACCUGCACGAAAGGCGUAACGACUUCCGCACUGUCUCGGCCAUAGACUCAGCGGAAUUGACAUUGGGGUGAAGAUGCCCCAUACCCGCAGCAAGACGGAAAGACCCUGUGAACCUUACUCUAACUUGGCAGCGGCAUUCGGUUCAGCUUGUGUAGGAUAGGUGGGAGGCUAUGAGACCCGGGCGCUAGCUCGGGAGGAGCCAACGUUGAAAUACCACCCUGGUUGUGCUGGAUGCCUAACCCUGAUCAUGUAUCGGGGACACUGCCUGGCGGGGAGUUUGACUGGGGCGGUCGCCUCCCAAAAAGUAACGGAGGCGCGCAAAGGUUCCCUCAGCCUGAACGGAAACCAGGCGUUGAGUGCAAAGACAGAAGGGAGCUUGACUGCAACACCGACAGGUGGAGCAGGUGCGAAAGCAGGCCUUAGUGAUCCGGCGGUCCCACAUGGGAGGGCCGUCGCUCAUCGGAUAAAAGGUACUCCGGGGAUAACAGGCUUAUCACGCCCAAGAGUUCACAUCGACGGCGUGGUUUGGCACCUCGAUGUCGGCUCAUCGCAUCCUGGGGCUGGAGCAGGUCCCAAGGGUUUGGCUGUUCGCCAAUUAAAGCGGUACGCGAGCUGGGUUCAAAACGUCGUGAGACAGUUUGGUCCCUAUCUGCUGUGGGCGUAGGAGAGUUGAGAGGAGCUGUCCUUAGUACGACAGGACCGGGAUGGACGCACCUCUGGUGUUCCGGUUGUCGCGCCAGCGGCAUUGCCGGGUAGCCAUGUGCGGAGGGGAUAACCGCUGAAAGCAUCUAAGUGGGAAGCCCCCCUCAAGAUAAGCUCUCCCUGAAGGGCCGAAGAAGACUACUUCGUUGAUAGGCGGGACGUAUAGAAGCAGCAAUGCAAGAGCGAACCCGUACUAAUUGCCCGAUUGGCUUGAUCCU